rnacentral:snRNA from 1 species
GGAUGUGGGGGCAAUCUGGCUGUGACAUCUGUCACCCCACUGACCGCCAGGGUUGAUUCAGCUAAUCUGGCUGGCUAGGCAAGUAUCCCCCUUCCUCCCUCACCAUUCCAUGUGAAACCCCCCCCCCCGAAGCUGCAGGUUGGGUCAAAGAGGACAACCUUCCCCAGUAGAGGAGAACUGUUUUUCAGUCAAGGAUAUACAAGUAGCUGCAUUCCCCUACUAGAACCUCCAAACAAGCUCUCAAGGUCCAUUUGCAGGAGAAUGUAGGGUAGUCAAGUUUCAAGACUCUAGACCACAUCCAAACGAGGCCCUGCAUGUGGCCCUUUCUUU